rnacentral:rRNA from 1 species
UACGUAGGUGGCAAGCGUUGUCCGGAAUUAUUGGGCGUAAAGCGCGCGCAGGCGGUCCUUUAAGUCUGAUGUGAAAGCCCACGGCUCAACCGUGGAGGGUCAUUGGAAACUGGGGGACUUGAGUGCAGGAGAGAAGAGUGGAAUUCCACGUGUAGCGGUGAAAUGCGUAGAUAUCAAGAGGAACACCAGUGGCGAAGGCGAGUCCCUGGACAACACCUGACACUGAGGCACGAAAGCUAGGGGAGCAAACAGG